AGUAUAAUUACAUCGUCUUCUUAACCAAGAGAAUGUCUGUCUUCUCCUCAGCACUAUAUCAUUAAUGAAGAUCUUUAACUGUGUUUCCAAACUUGCUACAGGCUGGGAAGACUAAUCAGAGAGACUGCGAAGUAAGAGGGUUGUUUAUGAUUCACCAUCAAACACAAUUUAACAAAGAAGCAGAAUAUACCAGAUACACAAGAAGCAAAAGAAAUGAAAUGAGCAUUCAUAACAACAUCCUUAGAGCACAGAAAGCCUUAUCCUGGGUGAGUGAUCAGGAAUAUGAAUAAAUUUGAUCUGUAGGAUGCCUUUCAAUGUUU